rnacentral:rRNA from 1 species
UACGAAGGUCCCGAGCGUUGUUCGGAAUCACUGGGCGUAAAGGGAGCGUAGGCGGCGCGGUAAGUCAGAUGUGAAAUCCCCGGGGCUCAACCCCCGGAACUGCAUCCGAUACUGCCGUGCUAGAGGAUUGGAGAGGUAGCUGGAAAUUCUUGGUGUAGCAGUGAAAAUGCGUGGAGAUCAAAGAGGAACACUCGUGGCGAAAAGCGAGCUACUGGACAAUA